GGUCGGUUUGGCCGGAUUUCACACAGGUGUUGCAUGGCUGUCGUCAGCUCGUGUCGUGAGAUGUUGGGUUAAGUCCCGCAACGAGCGCAACCCUCAUCCUUAGUUGCCAUCAGGUAAUGCUGAGUACUUUAAGGAAACUGCCAGUGAUAAGCUGGAGGAAGGUGGGGAUGAUGUCAAGUCAUCAUGGCCUUUAUGGAGUGGGCUACACACGUGCUACAAUGGUGUCUACAAUGGGUUGCAAGGUGCGCAAGCCUAAGCUAAUCCCUAAAAGACAUCUCAGUUCGGAUUGUACUCUGCAACUCGAGUACACGAAGUUGGAAUCGCUAGUAAUCGUGGAUCAGCAUGCCACGGUGAAUACGUUCUCGGGUCUUGUACACACUGCCCGUCACGCCAUGGGAAUUGGUUUCACUCGAAGCU
rnacentral:rRNA from 1 species